UCAUAAUAAAGCACAAAAAUAAUUGGUAAUGAAUCACAUAGAUAGCCAUCUAAAUUAGUUUUACUGUCGGCAACAUGCUUCUUGGAGAGCAGGGCUGCAGUUUUAAUUAGCUGAAGGCUGUCUGGUCUCUAUUGAUUGGAGAAGUGCCUCAUGGGUCUUUUUGAUAGACUGAACUGCAGUCCAUCUGGUGGUGUAAGCAGAAGCCUCAACAACCGCUUGAGAUUUUUGGAGCCUUUCUUUGCACAUCCUCCAAAUCUACAAAUUAUGGAUCUUGGUCAACUGGUCUCUCAAUGCAGUUGAACACAUUUUCUCAACGGGAAGACUUGGCACAGGAGAGCCCUCUUGUCCUGCGGGGACACACCCGGCAGGAUUCACCCUGGAUUUAUGCAUGAUAACAGGAUUUCUGCUGUUUGGAGCUCGCAGAGACUUGGCUCAUUGACAAAUCUGUGACAGACUUGGCUGAACUAGCGAACACUCAGACUGUUGGUGUGGACAGGGAGGCAAGUUGGAUGCGAGUCUUGCUGAGACUCGCAGCCCAGCUGAGGACUUCAAAACUCACUAACGGAAUGGAAUCGAUCUUGGAGAAGUUGCUAGUUUCGGUUCAAUGGAACGACCAAACUAAUUUGGAUAAUGGGGAACUGAGAUUUAUCAGAGGGACUUUAGGGAAGAUUGAAAUUUAGAAUCUACCCGACCUAAGACGUUCUGUUUCUGAAUUGGCUUUCCUUGUGUUGCCUUGGAAGGGCUGCAUAUUUCCAGUCUCCUUGAAGAUAUGUAAACAUAACGCUUCUUCCCACCUCACCACCUCCUGUUAUCCAUGCAGCUGUGGAGCUCAGCGCUCCCAAGGACAUCAUGCCUUGAUAACACCAUCUUAUCGGACUUCUGCCGGGAGGCUGAGGGAUGUGAGUCUUGCUGAGACUCACAGCCCAGCUGUUUCAUGGCCCUAUGACGUCACCACUUUCACUCAUAUCUUUGUUUUAUCUGAAUGUUGCCACGUUCCCUAAUGUGUCCGUUCCUCCUUUUUAUUUUAUUUUGUUAGAAACUGUGGAGUGCUCGCUUUAAACACAGAAAAGGAAUUAGGACAAACUUGGAAUCCAGA